rnacentral:misc_RNA from 1 species
GAUGAAGAACGCAGCGAAAUGCGAUACGUAAUGUGAAUUGCAGAAUUCAGUGAAUCAUCGAAUCUUUGAACGCACAUUGCGCCUGCCAGCACUCUGGCAGGCAUGCCUGUUCGAGCGUCAUUUCAACCAUCAAGCCCUAGGCUUGCGUUGGAGCCCUGCGGCUGCCGCAGGCCCCUAAAAGCAGUGGCGGGCUCGCUAUCACACCGAGUGCAGUAGAUUACUCUUCGCUCAGGGCGUGUGGCGGGUUCCAGCCGUGAACCCCCCUACUUCUCAAGGUUGACCUCGGAUCAGGUAGGAAUACCCGCUGAACUUAAGCAUAUCAAUAAGCGGAGGA